rnacentral:rRNA from 1 species
UUCCGGUUGAUCCUGCCGGAGGCCACCGCUAUCGGGAUGCGACUAAGCCAUGCGAGUCGUGAGUCUUCGGGACUCGGCGAAUCGCUCAGUAACACGUGGACAACCUGCCCUCGAGAGGGGAAUAACCCCGGGAAACUGGGACUAAUUCCCUAUAAGUCUGGGAUGCUGGAAUGCGCCCAGGCCGAAACGCUCAGGCGCUCGAGGAUGGGUCUGCGGCCGAUUAGGUAGUUGCAGGGGUAACGUCCCUGCAAGCCAGUAAUCGGUACGGGCUCUGAGAGGAAGGAGCCCGGAGAUGGACUCUGAGACAACAGUCCAGGCCCUACGGGGCGCAGCAGGCGCGAAACCUUUACAAUGCGGGCGACCGCGAUAAGGGGAUCCCGAGUGCCCGCGCACUGCGUGGGCUGUCCCCGAGCCUAAAAAGCUCGGGUUAGGAAGGACCGGGCAAGACCGGUGCCAGCCGCCGCGGUAACACCGGCGGUCCGAGUGGUGGUCGAUAUUAUUGGGCCUAAAGCGUCCGUAGCCUGCCGGGUAAGUCUCUCGGGAAAUCCGUUCGCUCAACGUACGGAAUUCCGAGGGAAACUACUCGGCUAGGGGCCGGAAGGGGCUGCGGGUACGUCGGGGGUAGGGGUGAAAUCCUGUAAUCCUCGACGGACCACCUGUGGCGAAAGCUCGCAGCUGGAACGGACCCGACGGUGAGGGACGAAAGCCAGGGGCACGAACCGGAUUAGAUACCCGGGUAGUCCUGGCCGUAAACGAUGCCCGCUCGGUGCCGGUGGUGGUACGUCCGCCAUCAGUGCCCUAGUGAAGACGUGAAGCGGGCCGCCUGGGAAGUACGUCCGCAAGGAUGAAACUUAAAGGAAUUGGCGGG